GUGCUUGCUUUGGCAGCACAUAUGCUAAAAUUGGAAUGAUACAGAGAUUAGCAUGGCCCCUGCCCUAGGAUGACACGCAAAUUCAUGAAGUGUUGCAUAUUUUU
rnacentral:snRNA from 1 species